UACGUAGGGGGCAAGCGUUGUCCGGAUUUAUUGGGCGUAAAGAGCGUGUAGGCGGCUUUACAGGUCCGUUGUGAAAACUCGAGGCUCAACCUCGAGACGCCGGUGGAAACCGUAAAGCUAGAGUCCGGAAGAGGAGAGUGGAAUUCCUGGUGUGAGCGGUGAAAUGCGCAGAUAUCAGGAGGAACACCCGUGGCGAAAGCGGCUCUCUGGGACGGUACUGACGCUGAGACGCGAAAGCGUGGGGAGCAAACAGG
rnacentral:rRNA from 1 species